UGACUUUGGUCACAGUCAAACUGCUUUAAGUUUGACCAUGUUUAUAGAAAAAAAUAGUAAUAUUUUCGACCCAAGAUAAAUUUAUUACAAAAAUGUAUUUAAUUAUUAAUUUAAUAAAACUAAUUUGGUAAUGUAAAUAUUACUAUAUUUGUCUAUAAACUUAGUCAAACUUAAAGCAGUUUGACUUUGACUAAAGUCAA
rnacentral:pre_miRNA from 1 species